rnacentral:misc_RNA from 1 species
GACGAAGGAUCCAAGCGUUGUCCGGAUUUACUGGGUUUAAAGGGUGCGUAGGCGGGAGAUUAAGUCAGUGGUGAAAGCCCUCAGCUCAACUGAGGAACUGCCAUUGAAACUGAUUUUCUUGAAUAUGGUUGAGGUAGAUGGAAUAUAACAUGUAGCGGUGAAAUGCUUAGAUAUGUUAUAGAACACCGAUUGCGAAGGCAGUCUGCUAAGCCAUAAUUGACGCUGAGGCACGAAAGCGUGGGGAGCAAACAGG